GGGUAUAUAGCUCAGUGGUAGAGCCCAUGUUUCAUGUGCAUGAGGUCCUGAUUUCAAUUCCCAGUACCUCCU
rnacentral:tRNA from 1 species